rnacentral:rRNA from 1 species
UGAGGAAUAUUGGUCAAUGGUCGCGAGACUGAACCAGCCAAGUAGCGUGCAGGAUGACGGCCCUCCGGGUUGUAAACUGCUUUUAGUUGGGAAUAAAAGGGUGUACGUGUACGCCGAAUUGUAUGUACCAUCAGAAAAAGGACCGGCUAAUUCCGUGCCAGCAGCCGCGGUAAUACGGAAGGUCCGGGCGUUAUCCGGAUUUAUUGGGUUUAAAGGGAGCGUAGGCGGGUUUUUAAGUCAGUUGUGAAAGUCUGCGGCUCAACCGUAGAAUUGCAGUUGAAACUGGAAGCCUUGAGUGCACGCAGGGGUGCCGGAAUUCAUGGUGUAGCGGUGAAAUGCUUAGAUAUCACGAAGAACUCCGAUUGCGAAGGCAGCUGGCGAGAGCACAACUGACGCUGAAGCUCGAAAGUGCGGGUAUCGAACAGGAUUAGAUACCCUGGUAGU